UGAUCUUUGAUUGUCCUCCACUCGUUAGGCAUUUUCGUUUCUUUCUCCAAUUGUGGCGUUUCCUCCGUUGAUUGUUCCAAGAUUUCAUCUUGAAUUUUGGAGUUUCUUCUUGUACUUUGUCUUUUAAACUAUUUAAGAUACCUGCAAGAUCAGAACAAGAAUCCUCUCUCGCCAAGCGAGCAUUACUUUUGGAAAACACAAUAUGAGGGGAUUCCUCCACAGUUUGGGUUCUGUUAUUAAAUACCCUGUAUGCUUUGCUAUGUGAAGAAUACCCAAUAAAAAUUCCCUCAUCGGAUGUGACAUCAAAUU
rnacentral:lncRNA from 1 species